rnacentral:lncRNA from 1 species
UCUUAGUGGUCAAGUUACUCUAUAUGAGAUGAUGGGGCAAAAAAAAACAAAUCUGGUCAGUUGACCAUUUAGCCUUGACCUUAACCAAAACCAUGUCUUGGCUGACCGGAAUCAACUUGAUCAAGGCCCUUAAUCCGGUGGAACUGGCGUAUCUAAUUAUCUGGAUCAGUUUCUAACUAAUAAAUCAUUGAUCCAUGUAC